AAGGGGCUGUAUGGGAGUUCUUGCUGGGUUGUUUUGAUCCCAAUAGCACAUUUGAGGAAAGAAAUGAACUUAGACAACAACGGAGAGAGCAAUAUGCUGUGUGGAAAUCUGAAUGCCAAAAGCUAGUACCUGUUAUUGGCAGUGGAAAGUUUACCACAAAUGCUAUAGUCACGGAUGAUGGCCAACCUAUAGAGCUUGCGAACACUACCAGUAAUGGACAUGAUACUAACAAUGGCAUGCCAGUCGAUGACGGUGUUUAUGAGAAGAAAGUGGUCCAGUGGAAGCUUAACUUGUCCCAAAUUGGUCUGGAUGUUGUUCGUACGGAUCGUUCUCUUGUAUUUUAUGAGAAUCAAGCUAAUCAGGCAAAACUCUGGGAUGUGCUAGCUGUCUAUGCAUGGA
rnacentral:misc_RNA from 1 species